rnacentral:lncRNA from 1 species
UAAUGGUCCAUAUCUGCCAAAGUAAACUAAUCAAUUUACUUCAAUGAGCAUUUGUUAAGAGCUGGCACAGUGAUUAGAGAGCAGGCCCAGGAGUUAGGAGGACCUCAGUCUAAGUUCUGUCUCUGACACGUACUGGUUAUAUGACAAUUCUUAGCUUUCCAGGAAACCCUCUGAGGUUGUAAUUUGUGGAACUUUGUUGUUGUUCAAUCAUUUUCAGUCGUGUUCGACUCUUUGUGACCUAUCUGGAAUUUUCUUGGCAAAGACACUGCAAUGGUUUUCCCUUUCCUUCUCCAUUUCAUUUUACAGAUGAGGAGACUAAGGCAGAGUUAAAUGACUUGCCCAGUGGCACAACUAGUAAAUGUCAGAGGCCAGAUUUGAACUAAGGAAGAUGAGGCUUCCUAAUUCUAAACCCAGUACUCAAUCCACUGUGCCACCUAGCUGUAAAAUUUUGCUAAUCUGAAUCAACAUGGAGAAUUUUCUUUUCUGAAAUUACAGUUAUUUUCAUUUUUCCCUAAAUUCAAUUUCCUGAAAUUCCAGAAAGUCACAGAUUUAUCUGCCAUCUCCCCAAAAUGCCAGAUGUGAGAACUUCAACAUAAAAUGAAAAAGUAUAAGCCCUUAAAGAGAAUCCCCAACAUCCCCCUGGGAUCUUGAAGAAGGAUGAAAAUUUCUUAUCUUUUGGACUUUUCUAUUUUUCUAUGGAGAGAUCGCUAAAGACAGAUCACAUGGCUCUUCUCUUCCCCAGUAAAUAUGCCCAAUUUCUUCAACCCAGAGAAGGAAGUAAACAAGGAAAAAAGAAGGGAUGGUUUCAUCUGAAAGGAGGUGAAGAGUUUCAGGAAAUGAUGGCAUUGUGAAGAAAGACAAAAGGCAUCAAUUAGUUCUGUUAAAAAAUUAAACAAGUGGUCUAAAUUGGAUGACAUCCAAGUUUUAAAUCUAAUGAGAAUCCUUUGAGUAGCUAUAGCCACAGAGUAAUAAAAUGAAGUGAAGGAAGGACCUAGAUUCA